GCGCCGCUCCCCCACUUCUAUAGUGAGAACACCUCUUUAGUACUUCACGUGCAGAAUAUUGAACUGUUUUACUCAGUUAUAUUAAUAUAUGGAGUAUAUACAUGUAUGUAUACAUAUACAUAUACUAUAUACAUGUGUAUAACCCAUACAAAUAAGCAAAAAAAUACAAUAACCGUAAGAAACCCUUGAGAGAUAAAUAAUGAUAAAAGUUUGAAUAUAGCGUGCCUGGUCUGGAAUAAUAGGUGUGAAUAAUGUAGAGGGGUAAAGGGAACCUGUAUUAACGCUGUGCUAAGGUGUGAUGUAAUCUUUUUUAUUUAUUUAUUUAUUGCAAACAGACGCACUGCUGUUUCAAAACCUCAGUCUCAUUAGCUCUUAAGCGGCUGCAAUAUACAUGACAGUGAGACGAGCUGAUUCUGGACCAAACCAUUCAAUACACGAGAAGGGGGAGUGGAGGAGUGUUACACAUAGUUUUAAUAAUAAUAAUGACGGCGUUUUAAUCAUAUGUGUAUUAGUGUAUGAAACUGGUUGUGAAAAUAUGUACAGUAUUUGUUUAUUUAUUUAUCUUUAAUAUAGCUAUAAGUAUAGUUGCUUUACAAUAAUACCUCAAUAUCUGAGUGUCUGAAUUUGUAAUCAAUUGGUACACUUGUUUGACCUUUCAAAUACCGUACCUACUGGUGAUAAGCUGCGUUUUUGUUGAGUGUAUGGGGAAACUGGGACUGCAGGCGGCGUGGUAGGGUUGAGAGAGUCGGAGUGGGGCUGCUCAGAAGUUGAGAUCUGGCAACUGGUCCAUUGCAUCUACGAUGGUGCGUUCGUGUUAAUUGUUUGCCCAGUGUGAACCAGCCUUAAAGCCAACGUUGGGCCAACGCUAUGAUGUUUACUGGCGUUUGGCGCUUAUAUUUUCUUAUUCGCAUAAGUUUUAAGGAGCUUAAAAGUUGAGGUGGAAAAAAGCUUUGCUAUACCGGCUAUUUUGUGAAGUACUUGAUACAUUACUCUAAAUCAAGCCUCGAAUUGAUGGGGAACAGAAGGGAACUGCAUUCCCAGCGAUUUCAACAGCAACUAUAGAAAAUCUAAGAAUCAGCUUCAGCAACCAUGGACUACCAGAGAUGGUAGUGUCUGACAAUGGAACUCCUUUCGUCAGUGCAGAAUUUAAAGAGUUCAUGAGUCGGAAUGGAAUCAGUCACGUGACUUCUGCCCCAUAUCAUCUAUCUUCCAAUGGAUUAGCUGAACAUGCCGUACAGAGAUUUAAAGAGUGCAUGAAGAAGGCAUCGGGAGGCACCCUGGAAACAAAAGUAUCUCAUGCCUUGUUUAGCUACAGAGUAACACCUCAAUCUACUACAGGUCGGAAACUGAGAGCCACACUUGACCUGCUAUAUCCUGAUCUCAAAAGACAAAUACAACAGAGACAGUUAAAGAAAGGAAAACCACGAUAAGCAUGUAAAAAAAACAAAGUUUUUUGACAGUAUAUUUCAGUCAUGGUCCACAGUGGAUACCUGCAACUGUUCAAGAAGUGACGGUCCCAGUUUCCUGUACACUGUUGUUAGGAGAUGGCAGAUUGGUGCGCCGUCACGUUGAACAAAUCUACAGGAGACAGGACGAGCCAGAUAGAUCUGCAGUGGAAGAGUUGGAGAAUCCAGCUGAAAGAGACACUCAUACAUGUACAUUCCAGUCCGGUGGGGUUACAAAAAAACUCUUAAGUGGUGCUGCUGGCACUGAAGAAACAUCUUCCAGUCCUGAUAGGGCUACCGCUGAGGUGGUACCAUCCGCGCCAGAAACUAAGGAAGGGGCAUCGCCAACCGUGCCUGGUACUUCAUCACCUGUAAAUCGUUCUUUAAAAAAACAGGACAUAUGAUGGUUCCAGCAAAGAAGAUGGCUGCUUUGUUUGGAGUUGCAAAUAAAAGUUAAUCUUUAAUUGGUAA